AGCGAACAUUGGCGGUAGGCUUAACACAUGCAAGGCGAAGGGGCAGCAAUGUCACUGUCGUACGGGUGCGUAACGCGUAUGCAACCUACCUAUCACUGGGGGAUAGCCCGGGGAAACCCGGAUUAAUACCGCAUAACACAGGGGCUCCUCAUGGAGAUAUUUGUUAAAGAUUUAUCGGUGGUAGAUGGGCAUGCGUUCGA
rnacentral:rRNA from 1 species